GUUUGAUCCUGGCUCAGAUUGAACGCUGGCGGAAUGCUUUACACAUGCAAGUCGAACGGCAGCACGGGGCAACCUGGUGGCGAGUGGCGAACGGGUGAGUAAUACAUCGGAACGUGCCCAAUCGUGGGGAUAACGUAGCGAAAGUUACGCUAAUACCGCAUACGAUCUACGGAUGAAAGCGGGGGAUCGCAAGACCUCGCGCGAAUGGAGCGGCCGAUGUCAGAUUAGGUAGUUGGUGGGGUAAAGGCUCACCAAGCCAACGAUCUGUAGCUGGUCUGAGAGGACGACCAGCCACACUGGGACUGAGACACGGCCCAGACUCCUACGGGAGGCAGCAGUGGGGAAUUUUGGACAAUGGGCGCAAGCCUGAUCCAGCCAUUCCGCGUGCAGGAUGAAGGCCUUCGGUUGUAAACUGCUUUGUACGGAACGAAACGGUUCUCUCUAAUACAGGGGGCUAAUGACGGUACCGUAAGAAUAAGCACCGGCUAACUACGUG
rnacentral:rRNA from 1 species